rnacentral:rRNA from 1 species
UACGAAGGGGGCUAGCGUUGCUCGGAAUCACUGGGCGUAAAGGGUGCGUAGGCGGGUCUUUAAGUCAGGGGUGAAAUCCUGGAGCUCAACUCCCAGAACUGCCUUUGAUACUGAGGAUCUUGAGUUCGGGAGAGGUGAGUGGAACUGCGAGUGUAGAGGUGAAAGUUCGUAGAUAGUUCGCAAGAACACCAGUGGCGAAGGCGGCUCACUGGCCCCGAUACUGACGGCUGAGGCACGGAAGGCCAGGGGAGCAAACGGGG